ensembl:rRNA 5S_rRNA 5S ribosomal RNA
GCCUGCGGCCAUACCACCCUGAAAGCGCCCGAUCUCGUCUGAUCUCGGAAGCUAAGCAGGGACGGGCUUGGUUAGUACCUGGAUGGGAGACUGCCUGGGAAUACCAGGUGUUGUAGGCU